UACGGAGGAUGCAAGCGUUAUCCGGAAUGAUUGGGCGUAAAGCGUCCGCAGGUGGCUGUGUAAGUCUGCUGUCAAAGAGCAAAGCUCAACUUUGUAAAGGCAGUGGAAACUACACGGCUAGAGUGCGUUCGGGGCAGAGGGAAUUCCUGGUGUAGCGGUGAAAUGCGUAGAGAUCAGGAAGAACACCGGUGGCGAAAGCGCUCUGCUGGACCUUAACUGACACUGAGGGACGAAAGCUAGGGGAGCGAAUGGG
rnacentral:rRNA from 1 species